GGACGUGACCACUCAAAAAGAUCCCCUGAUGGGAGAAAGCAUUAAAACAUCAGUAGAUUCUAGAAUCUCAGGAUUAUCUUUCCUGGUGUCCAGGCCAAGAGUCAUAGAUUCAGGUGACAGUGCUUUCAAGAUCUAAAAGCUCUCUGUGUUUCUCAAAUGAAUUUGAAUCAAAUAUUCUUGAACUGUGUUUUCAAAUGACUGAGGUGAAAUCAUUUGGGUCGGGAAGAGAAAUCGUUAUUUAAGGCUAUGAGCUGCCAGCAGAAUCUCGUCAUGUCACUGAGGGACAUCCUUCUCAUUUAGUCAUCUCUUAGAAAGUUUUACUUUGCAGUCUGGCAUUGACGAGGACAUGUGUAAAGAGCCUCACCCCCACAGCUGCCAGAUCAAACUGAGAAGGAAACAGAUCGGUCUUGUUACUAAUAAAGUGGUUAUUACUAGUUGGAUCCCUUCAUGACAAGUAUGUGGAUUGCUAGAAUAUGAAUUCAUAGAUUCAUAUUCUAUAUUCUAUAUUUUGAUUCAUAUUCAAAACCAAUAUUGUAUUGGUUUUUGCUAAUAAACAUACUUAAACAGAAUAGUGGAUGC
rnacentral:lncRNA from 1 species